rnacentral:rRNA from 1 species
AGAGUUUGAUCCUGGCUCAGAUUGAACGCUGGCGGCAGGCUUAACACAUGCAAGUCGAGCGGAAACGGCAUAGGCAAUCCCUUCGGGGUGCGCUUAUGGACGUCGAGCGGCGGACGGGUGAGUAAUGCCUGGGAAUCUGCCUGGUAGUGGGGGAUAACUUGCCGAAAGGUAAGCUAAUACCGCGUACGCCCUACGGGGGAAAGCAGGGGAUCUUCGGACCUUGCGCUAUCAGAUGAGCCCAGGCCGGAUUAGCUAGUUGGUAGGGUAAAGGCCUACCAAGGCGACGAUCCGUAGCUGGUCUGAGAGGAUGAUCAGCCACACCGGGACUGAGACACGGCCCGGACUCCUACGGGAGGCAGCAGUGGGGAAUAUUGGACAAUGGGGGGAACCCUGAUCCAGCCAUGCCGCGUGUGUGAAGAAGGUCUUCGGAUUGUAAAGCACUUUAAGUUGGGAGGAAGAGCUCCGGGCUAAUACCCUGCGAGUUUUGACGUUACCAACAGAAUAAGCACCGGCUAACUUCGUGCCAGCAGCCGCGGUAAUACGAAGGGUGCGAGCGUUAAUCGGAAUUACUGGGCGUAAAGCGCGCGUAGGUGGUUUGUUAAGUUGGAAGUGAAAGCCCCGGGCUCAACCUGGGAAUUGCUUUCAAAACUGACGGGCUAGAGUACGGUAGAGGGUAGUGGAAUUUCCUGUGUAGCGGUGAAAUGCGUAGAUAUAGGAAGGAACAUCAGUGGCGAAGGCGACUGCCUGGACUGAUACUGACACUGAGGUGCGAAAGCGUGGGGAGCAAACAGGAUUAGAUACCCCUGGAAGUCCACGCCGUAAACGAUGUCAACUAGUUGUUGGGGGUCUUGUGGCCUUUAUAAACGCCCUAACCCAUUAAAGUUGACCCCCCUGGGGAAGUACGGGCCGCAAGGUUAAAAACUCAAAGGAAUUGAAGGGGGGCCCCCCA